rnacentral:rRNA from 1 species
UACGUAGGGUGCAAGCGUUAAUCGGAAUUACUGGGCGUAAAGCGUGCGCAGGCGGCUUUGCAAGACAGAUGUGAAAUCCCCGGGCUUAACCUGGGAACUGCCAUUGUGACUGCAAGGCUGGAGUGCGGCAGAGGGGAUGGAAUCCGCGUGUAGCAGUGAAAUGCGUAGAUAUGCGGAGGAACACCGAUGCGAAGGCAAUCCCCUGGGCCUGCACUGACGCUCAUGCACGAAGCGUGG